GGCCCAGUGUGGCGUAUCAUUGGUUUCCAGGGCCAACGUCCCCCCCCAGGGGCCGACAGGCUCUGAGCAUUUGCUGUGCAAUCUCCGCCUGUCUUGGAAACCAGUGGCCUCAGAGCCCCUGCUCACCCGGCUUCAUACCUGAGCAUGGAACUCACUGGAAAAUGUGGCAAUGCCUAACAAAGCCGUGGCUCUUGAGUGUGACUUGGGCAAGAGCUGCUUCCAGGUUCUCAGAAUGACACCUCCAAGAUGGGCACCAAGCUGGUUCCCCACGGUGCCCACAUCCUGAAGUGUCCCAGAUCACACAGCAGCGGCGGAUUUGAGUCACCCCAGGCCUCUGCAGACAGGCGCAAGAAAUAAGGAAACCUGCUCCUCCUCCCGGAUUUCCUGGGCCGACGCCCGUGUCCCUGUGGGUUCCUGUCCUUCCUCAGAACAUGAGCAUCGAGCCAGGAGCAAAGCCCCGCGCUGUGGCUCAGGUGCAGCUGUGGGGAUCAGUUUCCACCAGUGAGGGGCAUGAAAAGGCCACGUGAAAAUUCUCCCUCCUUGGAGCAAACGGCGUCCAGGGCCCCGGAUUUUCACCCCCUCCCCAGGGUGGAAAGGAGGCAUCUGCAACAGCUUCAACCACGAAGACGAGGACAGGACCUGGGACCAAAACCACAAGGUGGAGAGCGGGCCCGGCCCACCUGCAGUCUCGCCUGUUGCUUGCGGAUGGCGUGAACCGCUAGCCUCUGGGAGCUUCUCCGCUUGGGGGCCUCUUUGUUCUAGAAGCUUAGUCUUUAUCCUAAUACCCCGGCUCGAUGCAAAUACUGAGAAAUAUAAGUGAAUAGAAAUGGAAGGAACUUCAUUGUACAAACAGCACUCAAUGCUUUGAUCUCCUUCUGAGUUACACGCCAUGAGUUACACGCCAAUGAUCACACGAUGGUCUAUCACCAAAAGGAUUUCUGAUGAUGGAUCAGCCCAGGACUCAGCGGGAUCGUGAUGUGAAAUGGUGCCUGGUCUGCUGGGGACAGCACAGGAACGAAAACGUGGAAACGUGGAAACGCGGGUCUCCGGCCGUCCAGCUUUCGCGGGCCCCGUGUUCUUCCCUUCAGUGAAAAUACGCUUAUA
rnacentral:lncRNA from 1 species